rnacentral:tRNA from 1 species
GCGGGGGUACCCAAGUGGUCAAAGGGGCUAGAUUUCCCAGAAGUCUGGGAAAGGCCAAGCUUAGGACCUAGUGGAUAAGUCCUUCCGGGGUUCGAGCCCCCGCCCCCGCA